UCCCUGGUGGUGCAGUGGUUAAGACUCUGUGCUCCCUAUGCAGAGGGCCCUGGUUUGAUUCCUGGUCAGGGAA
rnacentral:tRNA from 1 species